UACGAGGGGGGCGAGCGUUGUUCGGAAUUACUGGGCGUAAAGGGCGCGUAGGCGGCCUUCUAAGUCAGACGUGAAAUCCCCCGGCUUAACCUGGGAACUGCGUCUGAUACUGGGAGGCUCGAGUAUGGGAGAGGGAUGUAGAAUUCCAGGUGUAGCGGUGAAAUGCGUAGAGAUCGGGAGGAACAUCAGUGGCGAAGGCGGCCAUCUGGGACAACACUGACGCUGAAGCACGAAAGCGUGGGGAGCAAACAGG
rnacentral:rRNA from 1 species